UUAAUCCAGCUCACAUGUGAAUUUCAUGACGCUAGUGCAGUUUGUAAACAUUCCCUUUUUAGUCCAGUUUAACGGGGUGUUUACGGUUUAGAAAAUGUUGUUGUUAUUUGCACUUGCUGGAAACGGAAUAAACUUUAAUAAGUUGUUGUUGUUUUUUUUAUUUAUCUAUUAGCCUUCUUGAACUGCGGGUGCUUUGCUGACGAGUUCCUACAACAUGUCUUGAAUUUAAGAGCCAGAAUUUAUGACUGUGCUCCUAUGGUUCGAUUCUCAAAGUUGCCUUUCAGAUGAUUGGUGAGGAAAUAUGACUGUGAUGUGUGUUUCACCCCCAUGAUCAUUGCAGCUGACUUCAUGGGCUCUGCAAAAGCCAGAGAGAGUGAAUUAACCACCAACAAGUCUGAUCGACCCUUGAUUGUCCAGUUUGCUGUCAAGGAUGCACUGACGCUGGCAGAAGCAACUUGUUUUGUCUCUCCUUUUUCAGAUGGGGUGUAUCUGAACUGUGGCUGUCCACAUUGAAUUCAUAAAGAUAUGAGGAAGACAGUGGACCUCUGUCAGAAGGUGGAGGCGGCAGGGUUGUCCUGGAUUACAGUGCACGGUCGUACAGCUGACGAGAGGCAUCAGCUGGUUCACUGGGACGCCAUUAAGACGUCAAGGACAGCCUCUCCAUCACAGUCAUUGCCAAUGGUGACAUGAAGAGCAUGCAGUAUGUGGAAACCGCCUGUGACCUCACAGGAGUGGAUGGUGCGUGUCAGUUGCGUGACAUUUGAUGUCAGGGUCCAAACUUUUGGUGUUUAAGUUAUUUUCUUUAAGUGCUCUUUAGUGCUGCUCAAUUGAAAUGAAAUUGAAAAUCCAGAUAUGAUCUUGUGUAAUUAUUAAACCACAGGGCUGUGAUUGAGUGUGCGUACUGCUUGCUUCAAAGCUCCUGUCUGUAUUGUGUUAGUGCAUUAUUACAUUGUUUUCAGAGUGCUUCUGUGCUCCACAAUUUCAUCUCAUGUUCAGUAACAGAUGUGCUCUAGUCUAGUUUGAUUCCUUUUGCUUACGUGCACGGAGUUAAUUCCAAAUAUGUUUAGCUGCUACAAGUUGGUAUGCAAUUACAAAUAAUAAUUUGGAAGUCCUAUGGCACAGGAGGAGGAGAACAUGUUAAAAUGAGGUGCACAUAAUACAGCUGUUGUGACUUUGAACUUGGCUACAAAAGUCUUCCUGCAGUUGUCAGCCAAAAUAAACCAAGGAACUCUAAACUGUCAAACUUUUAAGUGGGCCGUAUAGCAAUGUCCUGUGCAGGUUAAGAUUUUAUUACAGAAAUAUGUUACCAUUGUAUAAUAAUACUAAUAAUUUAAAUAUUACCAUAAUAUAAUAUUUAAGUUGACAGUGUUCCAAAAAUAAUGAUGAUGAACAGUGGGCUGAGACAAAGUGUACAAAAAAGACAUACACAGUGGAUAGGGUACAAUGUGAAUACUAAGAAGACAGUGUUAUUUUCUGUUUGUUUCAAUUUUAUUUUAUUUGUUUGUUGUUGUUUUUUUUGGGGGGGGAGUUUGGUUCUUUGUAAGAGGAUUCAAUUGUGAACCCUUAAAGAAUAGCUCUUUUUAUUGGCAGUGGAGCAUGGGCAAAACAUUACCAAAUUUUAGUCAAAAGGAAUCGCUUAAUAGUUUUUUUGUCUAGUUAUAGAAAAUUUGCAAUUUGAAAAAUAAUUUUAAAUCAAAGCAUAAUAAUUUAAUUCAAGGUUUUCCUCUCUUUGGAGUUUUAUCCAUAGAAAUGAGUGUCAAUGCUGUAAUUCACACAAAUUGCCACUGGUGGACGUCUGUACCGGUGUUGUUCACAAAUCACUGCAGUUCAGCUCCUCCAACUCAAUAAAAAAAAAAAUAUAUAAAUAUUAUUUUGGGAUUUGUUUUUUGACAGUAAUCGCUAAGUUAAAACUCAUUUCAAAACAAUACUAAAUAAUUUAAUUCAAGGUUUUCCUUUCACUGGAGUUUUACCCAUAAAAAUAAGUGGCAGUGGUAUAAUCCACUCAAAUCACAACUGGAGGGCGUUUGCCGUUGUGUAAUUCACUCAAAUCGCCACAGGAGGGCGUUUGCCGUGAUGUAAUUCGCUCAUAUCGCCACAGGAGGGCGUUUGCCGAGAUGUAAUUCGCUCAUAUCGCCACAGGAGGGCGUUUGCCGAGAUGUAAUUCGCUCAGAUCGCCACAGGAGUGCGUUUGCCGUGAUGUAAUUCGCUCAGAUCGCCACAGGAGGGCGUUUGCCGUGGUGUAAUUCGCUCAAAUCGCCACAGGAGGGCGUUUGCCUAGAUGUAAUUCGCUCAAAUCGCCACAGGAGGGCGUUUGCCUAGAUGUAAUUCGCUCAUAUCGCCACAGGAGGGCGUUUGCCGUGAUGUAAUUCACUCAGAUCGCCACUGGAGGGCAUUUGCCGUGGUGUAAUUCAUUUAAAUCGCUUCGUUUUGUUUUAUCUCAAUUUUAAAAUUAUUUUUAAAACUACAGAACACUCAAAUUGGAGAUGUCUGGGUUCAAAUCCCUUUUAUGCAUUUUAUUAUUCUCAUGUCAUCUUCAGAAUUAUUCAAAAGAAUAAAAGCUACCAGAGCACUAGGAGGAGUGAGUACUUGGUAGCUCACUAUGGAAGAACAGCGCCUUCAGACCAAAAAAAUACAGUGUUUAAAACCUGUUUCUUUAGCUUGAGAAUUGUUUUAAAGACUUUUUCUCACAGAACAAGUGUCAUGGGCCUUUAAACCUGAGAAGUGAUGCUUCAAAUGCCAUUCAAGACAUUGAAUUAUGCUUAAGAAGUUAUUAACAACUUGGGCACAGAGACCAGCACAAGGAGAUAGCUCGGUGUGGAAGGAGAUCCCUUUCAAGCCAGAGAAGUAUGGGUUCAGAUCCCAAAUGUCUGGAGCUAUUCCAAGCCUUGAGCUGUUCUUGUUUUUAACUCUUCAGAAUUAUUUAAAAGAUUUGGGGCCCACAGAACAGGCACAUCUGUGAGCAUUUGGUAGCUCAGUGUGGGAGAAGAUGGUAUUUGAACCAGGAGAGUCUGGGUUUGAGCCUUGGCUGAGACACAAUUGGACAGUUGAUGUUGAAGGAACUGAACUGGUAAGUUGGAAGGGUUUACAAGGUGUUUUUUUAAAUAUGCAAAACUUAAACAGAUUGCUAGGAAAAGCUUGCAUCCUUGUGCAUAACCAUUUGAAUCCAUCUUCAAGGAACCCGGGGGGGGGACCACACUUCAUCAUCCCCCCCUUUCUUGGUCAGGUUAUGCCAACUGGCCUUCACAUACAGGACAGUCACCCUGAACCACCUGGUUCAGUUUUAGUGCUCUUACCACUGAGCCACUGGAGCCUGCACAUUAAGAGCACUUCUCCUCGGAGCUUUAUCCUACACUCUAUGUCUGGCCUAUGGAACAAAAAGUACAAAGCAACAUCAUUUUGAAGUGACUUGCACCAUCUCCUAGACACCCAGUUUACUGGGAUGCAAGCCCAGAACUUCAGGUUUGUGGGUGCUUUGCUCUACCAGUUGAGCUACUGGCUUUUUAGGUUUGACUCUUUGUUAUAUUUCAGUCUAGACAUUAAAAAAUGAAACACUAGUGCUUAACUCUGGAGCCACUGAGCUUGGUUUACUUUUCAUUGUGUUUGGGGGGGGGCUGAUCUGUUACUUAUGACUAAAGAAACUUAAACACUGCAGGUUUUUAACCCAGACUUCCAGGUAUUUAGAGCAAAUGCUAAUCUACUGUGCCGUGUUUGGAGCAUUUAACUGUGUGUCUUUGGGGUUGAUGGUUUGUUACAUUUGACUUAAGAAACCUAAAAGAUGGGGGACUUGAACCCAGACUUUCAGGCAUGAUGGGUGAAUGUUAAUCUCUUGAGCCACUGAUUCAGGUUGUUUGAGUUUGGGGUUAAUGCCUUGUUACAUUUGAUGAAAGAACCUCAACAUUUGUAGGACUUGAAACUGGACUUUCACAUAUGAAACACAGAAGUUCAUCUGCUUAACCACUGAGUUGGGUGCGUUUUGCAGUCUGUUUUUGAGGUUGAUGCUCUUUUACACUUAACUUAAGAAUCUUAAAAGUUGCAGGAUGAACAUUUAACUCAUGAGCCACUGUUUGUAGUUUUGUAGUGUGUUUUUAGGGUUGAUGGCUUGUUAUAUAUGAUGAAAGAAACUUAAAGAUCUGGAACUUAAACAUUCAGGGAUGAAAGGCAAACAUUUAUCUCUGCAGCCACUGAGUUUGGAGUGUUUUGUGAUGUGUUUUUGGGUCAGUCAUGUAUUAAAACAUCUGAAAAUGAAAGAAUUGGACCAAAUGUCUUAACAAUCAAGACAUUAAGAGUAUUAUUAAUCCUUUACAAGUUUUCUCAAACUCUUUUGCUGAAAUGUAAAAUGUCAUAGUACAUACAUAAACUUAAUACACCAUAAUACAUAACUUGUAAAUAACUAAAUGUGGGUUUGAAGUAUAAAUGCUUUUAUUCAAAGGUCUUUAUAUGCAUUGUGUCAUGUUUUGUGUAGAAAAGAAACUAGGCAAAAAGUCCUGCAUUUUUUUGCACUGAUUUUAUUGUUCAGUGACACUGCAUGUGUAAUAGGCUUAAUAUUUGUUUCUCAUAAGCAAUAACAAGGCCAAAACUGCUAGAAAAACACACCAGAGAAAUCUCUACCAUGUGAUUAAAAUGGCACAAUAUUUAAGAAAUCUUUAGGACUUAUAAUACAUCAAAUAUAGAAACAGAAUAUUCCUGAGGACCCACAGGCACUGGUAUACAGUACUUUAAUCUCUCAAAUCAUGUUAAGCUACAAAGGCGGUUGUGAGAAAGUUCAACAAAUGCUAUUACAGAGAGUCCAAUGGUGUAUCGGGGUACAGAGCUACUAUUGUAUAUACAUGAAUCCAUAAAUAUGGCUUUGGGCCAGAUUGAUUGGCAUGCAAAAAUUGCACAUUUAGCCCACAGAUGUUAGGAUUACAUCCCAUCUGUUUUCCUAAUGCAUAGUGAUGUCAAGCAGGGCCAGCCACACCUUCACCAAAAUGACCUCCCCUAAAAAACCUUCAGAAAGACACACAAAACCAUUAACCUCAGUCAGAGUAUAGCAUUCUCUCUAAAAACAUGAGCAAUAGUGAUAGUGAUCUUUGCCUUGGCAAGCCACACUCAUUGGACAACUUGGCUAAAAGGUGUCAAUUUUGCACGGUUUCAGCAGGCCCGGCUCCAAAGGGGGGCCUGGCCCACCCAAUCAUGAACGUGGCCCACCUUGAGAACUACACCCACCUCUCCAACUGUUCGGCCCACCUUACAUCAUAGAGCUGGAGACAGGCCUGGGUUUCAGGACAUAAAUAUACAGUAUAAGGUUUGGUGCCCCCUAGAGGUACAAAUGGUAUUUACAUAACCCUAACCGUACACACCGUUUGCACACCACAGGCUGUGCAUGAGUGGGCUUGUUGCUCAAACACAAAAGUGUCAGACAGAGUACUUGCUCAGACAAAUAUGGAGGAAAAAUCAACAUACAGCAUGUUACAUUAGUUAUUGUUUAUCUUGGACCUUAGAUCUUAGGGUUUAAAACAUGGGGCCCAGGGGCCACAAGGUGGUGCUAGGGGGUACGCAGAAAUAUUAAGAGAAAAAUUAUGUAAAAGGACUGAAUUUGACAUUAUUACUGUUUUAUUCUGAUUUUUAAAGACUACAUAUAAAUUGAAAUUGAAUUGAAAAUAUUUUUCAAGUUUGUACCGUUGCUCUGUUAGUUGGUACAAAAAACAAUUUAUGCUGCCAACUUAAUACAAAGUUAAUAUUUUUUAAAUAAAUUAUUUCGGCUUUAGUGCAAUGACAAUACAAAUGGUACUCAUUGCAUCUUGUUGAAACUUGUUGAAACUACAGAACUGUCCUGAAAUGCGGCAUAUUGUUGUCUGGGUCAGGUACAGAAAUUUGCAAUGACAAUAUCAUACUGCUGCACAUUUUUCAUUCAAGUCAUUAUAAUUUAUAUAGCACUUUUCACAAUACAAAUAGCUUCAAACAAGGGUGUAGGUUUGGUUGGAAAGUUGAUAGGGACAUUCUUCAAAAUGUUGAUAUUAAGAAUGCAAGAAUGUAUCAUGUCUAUAGGCACAAUAUUUCCUCAUAUAACAAGUCCAAUGUUUUUUCCUCUGCCCCACCAUAUUAAAUAUGAGCCUAUUUUGUAUUAGCACUAUUUUGAUCACAAAGUUUUAAUUGUAUUUCCUGUAUUUUAUAGACAAAACAUGUUUUCCCCAUCUUUUCCCAACUACCCCGAUGUUCUUCACCAAUGUGCAAAAUAAAACGUAUUGGCUAAAUGUUUGCUAUACUUUGUGUGCAAAACAUUAAUUAAAAAUACAAACAUAGACUGAGCUGCUUGCUUGACUCUCUCACACAUGC